rnacentral:rRNA from 1 species
UGGGGAAUUUUGGACAAUGGGCGAAAGCCUGAUCCAGCAAUGCCGCGUGUGUGAAGAAGGCCUUCGGGUUGUAAAGCACUUUUGUCCGGAAAGAAAUCCUUGGCUCUAAUACAGUCGGGGGAUGACGGUACCGGAAGAAUAAGCACCGGCUAACUACGUGCCAGCAGUCGCGGUAAUACGUAGGGUGCAAGCGUUAAUCGGAAUUACUGGGCGUAAACGUGCGCAGGCGGUUUGCUAAGACCGAUGUGAAAUCCCCGGGCUCAACCUGGGAACUGCAUUGGUGACUGGCAGGCUAGAGUAUGGCAGAGGGGGGUAGAAUUCCACGUGUAGCAGUGAAAUGCGUAGAGAUGUGGAGGAAUACCGAUGGCGAAGGCAGCCCCCUGGGCCAAUACUGACGCUCAUGCACGAAAGCGUGGGGAGCAAAACAGGAUUAGAUACCCUGGUAGUCCACGCCCUAAAACGAUGUCAACUAGUUGUUGGGGAUUCAUUUCCUUAGUAACGUAGCUAACGCGUGAAGUUGACCGCCUGGGGAGUACGGUCGCAAGAUUAAAACUCAAAGGAAUUGACGGGGU